UGCAACUCGACUACAUGAAGCUGGAAUCGCUAGUAAUCGCGGAUCAGCAUGCCGCGGUGAAUACGUUCCCGGGCCUUGUACACACCGCCCGUCAAACCAUGGGAGCCGGUAAUGCCCGAAGUCAGUAGCCUAACCGCAAGGAGGGCGCUGCCGAAGGUAGGAUUGGCGACUGGGGUUAAGUCGUAACAAGGUACC
rnacentral:rRNA from 1 species